GCGUUCGUGGUGUAACGGUUAGCAUGGAAGCCUUCCAUCCAAACAGGCAUAGCUUUCGGCAGGGGUUCGAUUCCCCUCGAACGCA